rnacentral:rRNA from 1 species
UAGGGAAUCUUCCGCAAUGGGCGAAAGCCUGACGGAGCAACGCCGCGUGAGUGAUGAAGGUCUUCGGAUUGUAAAACUCUGUUAUUAGGGAAGAACAAACGUGUAAGUAACUGUGCACGUCUUGACGGUACCUAAUCAGAAAGCCACGGCUAACUACGUGCCAGCAGCCGCGGUAAUACGUAGGUGGCAAGCGUUAUCCGGAAUUAUUGGGCGUAAAGCGCGCGUAGGCGGUCUUUUAAGUCUGAUGUGAAAGCCCACGGCUCAACCGUGGAGGGUCAUUGGAAACUGGAAAACUUGAGUGCAGAAGAGGAAAGUGGAAUUCCAUGUGUAGCGGUGAAAUGCGCAGAGAUAUGGAGGAACACCAGUGGCGAAGGCGACUUUCUGGUCUGUAACUGACGCUGAUGUGCGAAAGCGUGGGGAUCAAACA